rnacentral:lncRNA from 1 species
UGGCCAUUGUCACUCAAACCGGGAAACUGGACAUUCACAGGAACUUUUCAUUUGUCAGGAUGCUUCAUCUUCCAAAGAAGACACCUGAGAAUUUCAAAUAAUAGCCCAUCACUUGUGCUUAAAAAAAUAAAAAAGGAGGAGGUGUUGGAAGCAGGGAAUGAAUUAUGGUUUUUGAACUGUCCAGCGACAGAAAUGAUGCCCCUCCUGAGAAUUCUCUGGGCAGAGGCAUUGAUUUGAGACUGUCCAGCUGCUAUGGUGACACCCU